GCCUGGGUGGCUCAGUCGGUUAAGUGUCCGACUUCGGCUCAGGUCACAAUCUCACGGUCCGUGGGUUCGAGCCCCGCUUCGGGCU
rnacentral:tRNA from 1 species